rnacentral:rRNA from 1 species
AGUGAACGCUGGCGGUAGGCCUAACACAUGCAAGUCGAACGGCAGCACAGUAAGAGCUUGCUCUUACGGGUGGCGAGUGGCGGACGGGUGAGGAAUACAUCGGAAUCUACUUUUUUGUGGGGGAUAACGUAGGGAAACUUACGCUAAUACCGCAUACGACCUACGGGUGAAAGCAGGGGAUCUUCGGACCUUGCGCGAUUGGAUGAGCCGAUGUCGGAUUAGCUAGUUGGCGGGGUAACGGCCCACCAAGGCGACGAUCCGUAGCUGGUCUGAGAGGAUGAUCAGCCACACUGGAACUGAGACACGGUCCAGACUCCUACGGGAGGCAGCAGUGGGGAAUAUUGGACAAUGGGCGCAAGCCUGAUCCAGCCAUACCGCGUGGGUGAAGAAGGCCUUCGGGUUGUAAAGCCCUUUUGUUGGGAAAGAAAAGCAGCAGGUUAAUACCCCGCUGUUCUGACGGUACCCAAAGAAUAAGCACCGGCUAACUUCGUG